GAGCACUACAAAUAUGAGCACUACAAACACCACCAGUACACACAACACCAAUAGAAAUAACGAGUCCAACCAAAAAGAAUCCCCCCAAACAAAUGAAAUAUUACUACAGUUUAACAGCUCCAACAUUAGUUGUAUAUGUACAAAUCCAGUACAUAAUGAAAAUGUUAUAUAUAUCGGUAAUUCUAAUGGGCUAAUUGAAGUUUUCGAUCUUGAUAAAAACGAAAAAAUAAAUAUUAUUAAUCUAAAAGAAAAAGAAAUUAUAUGUAUGGUUUUUAGUAAUGGUGGACAUAUUUUAUGUGUUGGUUGUAUAUGUGGUUUUAUUUAUUUAAUAAAUGUAAAUAAUUUGAAUAUUUUUUUUAGUGCAAAAGAUAUGAAACACGAAAUUGCUCAUUUGCAUUUUAGUGAAGAUGAUAAAAUACUUAUAUGUUCUUCUAAAAAUGGAAAUAUAAUUAUAUACAAAAAUGAAUAUAAUAAUACAUUGAUAGGAGAAUGGAAAUAUGCUUAUAAAAUUAUUAACAACAAUAAUAUUAUAUUUAAUGAUUUGAAUAUUGUUAAUAUUGGGUGUAAAAAUGACUCUAUUAUUGACCAUGAUGUAGAUUAUAAAAGGGGGUGUAAAGGCGAUAAUAAUGAAAAAACAGAAGAUAACAUAUAUACUAUUGUCGGUAUUACUAACAAUAGGCAUAUUAUUUUUCACCAUUAUAACUUUAACGAAAACAGUGUGACUAUUUCUUAUUUACAAUUAGAACAGAUAUAUACACCUACAUGUAUAUCCGAAACUCUUUAUUUUUACAACCGAAAAAUUUUAUGUAUAUGUAAUGAAGCUUCAAAACUCAGGUUUUUUGAUUUAAAAACGAAAAAAAUAAUUAAAACUAUACAACUACCUUUUAAAGAUAAAACUGUACAAAAAUUUAUAGCCCUUGUCGAUUGUGAUACAAAAUAUGACACAUGUUCUCAUAAUUUUGAUACUAAUGCUACCACAGCAGAAGUAACAACAACCUUCCAACAUAAUAAAAUGCAUAAUAUUAGUUCAUAUAAAAAUAUAAAAAAUGAUUUUAAAAAAAAUAAUAUUUUUUUAUUCGCUUUGAACGAACAAAUGAUUGUAUUUACACAAAGCCCAAUAGAUGCUAAUUGUUUACGAUAUAUUGGUGGUAUUGUAUGUAGUGGUAAAAUAAAAAACGUUCUAUACAAAAAUAAAAGAGUUUUUAUAUUAACAAAUAAUAAAAUAUUUUAUUAUAAUAUUAGUAAUGAAAUGUUAAGAGCAAACAUUGAAGUUCAAAAUAAUACACUAGAAACUUUUAUAGAAUUAAUAGGUGGAAAAAAUAGUCAAAUGUAUAAUCAAAUAAUAGACUCUUUUUAUUAUUGCGAAAUUCAAAAAAAAAAAAAUGAACAAAAAAAAAAAAAACAUACCAUCCAAAAAUUGUUAAAUGUGUUAUCCAUUGAAUAUAUAUUUGCUUCAAUCAAUGUAUUCUUAUCAAAAUUCGAAAUACAAAAUAUAAUACAAGAAUACCAUUUUUAUUAUAAAUAUGUUAUUCCGUUGAUUAAAAAUAACAAAAAAGUUAAUCAAAUUUUACAAAUGGAGGAUAAAAACUUAAUAAGUUACAACUCAGACUGUGAUAUUCUGUUAGAAAAUGUGUAUUUUGUCCAUUCAAAUGAGGAAAAAGGUAAUGUUAGUUGUGCCGUUACAAUGCCCUAGUUAUGUAAUACUUUCUAUGUAUUGAAAAAAUGGGAAAGUGUACAUAUGUAUUACUCGG
rnacentral:lncRNA from 1 species